GACAGAGGGGGCAAGCGUUGCUCGGAAUCACUGGGCGUAAAGCGUGCGCAGGCGGUUUUGUAAGUCCGAUGUGAAAUCCCCGGGCUUAACCUGGGAACUGCGUUUGAAACUACAAGGCUAGAGUGUGGCAGAGGGGGGUGGAAUUCCACGUGUAGCAGUGAAAUGCGUAGAGAUGUGGAGGAACACCGAUGGCGAAGGCAGCCCCCUGGGUUAACACUGACGCUCAGGCACGAAAGCGUGGGGAGCAAACAGG
rnacentral:rRNA from 1 species